rnacentral:rRNA from 1 species
UACAGAGGUCUCAAGCGUUGUUCGGAUUCAUUGGGCGUAAAGGGUGCGUAGGUGGCGCUGUAAGUCGGGUGUGAAAUUUCGGAGCUUAACUCCGAAACUGCAUUCGAUACUGCGGUGCUUGAGGACUGGAGAGGAGACUGGAAUUCAUGGUGUAGCAGUGAAAUGCGUAGAGAUCAUGAGGAAGACCAGUGGCGAAGGCGGGUCGUCUGGACAGUUCCUGACACUGAGCACGAAGGCCAGGGGAGCGAAACGGG